UGGGGAAUCUUCGGCAAUGGGCGAAAGCCUGACCGAGCCAUGCCGCGUGAGUGACGAAGGCCCUAGGGUCGUAAAGCUCUUUCGCCAGGGAUGAUAAUGACAGUACCUGGUAAAGAAACCCCGGCUAACUCCGUGCCAGCAGCCGCGGUAAUACGGAGGGGGUUAGCGUUGUUCGGAAUUACUGGGCGUAAAGCGCGCGUAGGCGGACCGAAAAGUUGGGGGUGAAAUCCCGGGGCUCAACCCCGGAACUGCCUCCAAAACUGCCGGUCUAGAGUUCUGGAGAGGUGAGUGGAAUUCCGAGUGUAGAGGUGAAAUUCGUAGAUAUUCGGAGGAACACCAGUGGCGAAGGCGGCUCACUGGCCAGAUACUGACGCUGAGGUGCGAAAGUGUGGGGAGCAAACAGGAUUAGAUACCCGGGUAGUCC
rnacentral:rRNA from 1 species